GACGAACGCUGGCGGCGUGCUUAACACAUGCAAGUCGAACGGAAAGGCCCUGCUUUUGGGGUGUUCUCGAGUGGCGAACGGGUGUGUAACACGUGAGUAACCUGCCCUUGACUUUGGGAUAACUUCAGGAAACUGGGGCUAAUACCGGAUAGGAGCUCCUGCUGCAUGGUGGUGGUUGGAAAGUUUCGGCGGUUGGGGAUGGACUCGCGGCUUAUCAGCUUGUUGGUGGGGUAGUGGCUUACCAAGGCUUUGACGGGUAGCCGGCCUGAGAGGGUGACCGGCAACAUUGGGACUGAGAUACGGCCAAGACUCCUACGGGAGGCAGCAGUGGGGAAUAUUGCACAAUGGGCGGAAGCCUGAUGCAGCAACGCCGCGUGCGGGAUGACGGCCUUCGGGUUGUAAACCGCUUUCGCAUGUGACGAAGCGUGAGUGACGGUAAUGGGUAAAGAAGCACCGGCUAACUACGUG
rnacentral:rRNA from 1 species